rnacentral:rRNA from 1 species
UACGAAGGGGGCUAGCGUUGCUCGGAAUCACUGGGCGUAAAGCGCACGUAGGCGGAUCUUUAAGUCAGGGGUGAAAUCCUGGAGCUCAACUCCAGAACUGCCUUUGAUACUGGGGAUCUCGAGUCCGGAAGAGGUGAGUGGAACUCCGAGUGUAGAGGUGAAAUUCGUAGAUAUUCGGAAGAACACCAGUGGCGAAGGCGGCUCACUGGUCCGGUACUGACGCUGAGGUGCGAAAGCGUGGGAAGCAAACAGG